ACAGCAAUUUAAUUGUAAUUUCUAAAGGGCUUUUACGCAUUCUAGAAUACAUAAUACGAAAAUAUUGUGUUAACAGAGAAAGAAAGUAAAGCGGGGAGGAAGCAAAGAUUGAAAAAAAGAAUUAGACAAGGGUGUAACUUACCUACGCUAUUUAACUUAUAUAUUGAAGUUUCACUAGAAAAAUUAAAGGAAGAACAAACA